AGCAGCCGCGGUAAUUCCAGCUCCAAUAGCGUAUAUUAAAGUUGUUGCAGUUAAAAAGCUCGUAGUUGAGUUUCGGGAUCAAUAUGUCUGUCGUGCUUUGGUACGUACUGGCAUUAUUGAUUUCUCCCUUCUGAUAAACCAUGAUGUCAUUAAUUUUUGGUGUUGUGGGGAAUCAGGACUGUUACUUUGAAAAAAUUAGAGUGUUUAAAGCAGGCUCACGCUUGAAUACAUUAGCAUGGAAUAAUGAAAUAGGACGUUUGAUUCUAUUUUGUUGGUUUCUAGGAUUGACGUAAUGAUUAAUAGGGAUAGUUGGGGGCAUUAGUAUUCAAUUGUCAGAGGUGAAAUUCUUGGAUUUAUUGAAGACUAACUACUGCGAAAGCAUUUGCCAAGAAUGUUUUCAUUAAUCAAGAACGAGAGUUAGGGGAUCGAAGACGAUCAGAUACCGUCGUA
rnacentral:rRNA from 1 species